AGGAUUAACGCUGGCGGCGUGCCUAACACAUGCAAGUCGAACGAGGUAGCAAUACCUAGUGGCAGACGGGUGAGUAACGCGUGGUCAACCUACCGUUGAGUGGGGGAUAACUAGCCGAAAGGUUAGCUAAUACCGCAUACGAGUCUCGGGGGCAUCCCUGGGUCUUAAAAGGAGCAAUCCGCUCGAUGACGGGACCGCGUCCCAUUAGCUAGAUGGUGGGGUAAUGGCCUACCAUGGCUCCGAUGGGUAGCUGGUUUGAGAGAGCGACCAGCCACACUGGGACUGAGAAACGGCCCAGACUCCUACGGGAGGCAGCAGUGAGGAAUUUUCCGCAAUGGGCGAAAGCCUGACGGAGCGACGCCGCGUGUGGGAAGAAGGCCUUCGGGUCGUAAACCACUGUCGAAGGGGACGAUAAUGACGGUACCCUUGGAGGAAGCCCCGGCUAACUACGUGCCAGCAGCCGAC
rnacentral:rRNA from 1 species